UAGGGAAUCUUCGGCAAUGGGGGCAACCCUGACCGAGCAACGCCGCGUGAGUGAAGAAGGUUUUCGGAUCGUAAAGCUCUGUUGUAAGAGAAGAACGUGUGUGAGAGUGGAAAGUUCACACAGUGACGGUAACUUACCAGAAAGGGACGGCUAACUACGUGCAG
rnacentral:rRNA from 1 species